rnacentral:piRNA from 1 species
UACGAUCUAUAAGAAUAGUCUUAAGAUACAGU